UACGGGGGGGGCAAGCGUUGUUCGGAAUUACUGGGCGUAAAGGGCUCGUAGGCGGCCAACUAAGUCAGACGUGAAAUCCCCAGGCUCAACCUGGGAACUGCGUCUGAUACUGGAUGGCUUGAAUUCGGGAGAGGGAUGCAGAAUUCCAGGUGUAGCGGUGAAAUGCGUAGAUAUCUGGAGGAACACCGGUGGCGAAGGCGGCAUCCUGGGCCGGUAUUGACGCUGAGGAGCGAAAGCCAGGGGAGCAAACGGG
rnacentral:rRNA from 1 species